AGCUCCAAUAGCGUAUAUUAAAGUUGCUGCAGUUAAAAAGCUCGUCGUUGGAUCUCGGGGUACCUGGUCUAGCCGGUAUAGCUCACGCUAAAACUGGUCUGACCCCCCAACGUGAGGUAUUCGUCUCCGGGUGCACUUCAUUGGGUGCUCGUGAGGGGCCUCGUAGUUACUGUGAAAAAAUUAGAGUGUUCAAAGCAGGCUCAUAUGUUCGGAUAGUCGUGCAUGGAAUAACUGAAUACGUGACUGGCGCGUUGCAGGUGGUCUCGGCGACUGGUCAAAUGAUUAAGAGGGACUGCCGGGGGCAUGGGUAGGGAGGGGUUAGAGGGGAAAGUCUUGGAUCCUCGCCAGAGCAACAAAAGCGAAAGCAUUUGCCAAGAAUGGCUUCA
rnacentral:rRNA from 1 species